rnacentral:rRNA from 1 species
UACGUAGGGGGCUAGCGUUGCUCGGAUUUACUGAGCGUAAAGGGCGCGUAGGCGGACAUUUAAGUCAGGGGUGAAAUCCCGGGGCUCAACCUCGGAACUGCCUUUGAUACUGGGUGUCUUGAGUGUGAGAGAGGUAUGUGGAACUCCGAGUGUAGAGGUGAAAUUCGUAGAUAUUCGGAAGAACACCAGUGGCGAAGGCGACAUACUGGCUCAUUACUGACGCUGAGGCGCGAAAGCGUGGGGAGCAAACAGG